rnacentral:lncRNA from 1 species
UUUUUUUUUUUUUUUAGUUUAUUUCGGAUAAGAUUUUUAACCAAUUUCGGAUAAGAUUUUUAACCAAUUUCGGAUAAAAUUUCAAAUAAACUUAAAAAAAAAACACACUAAAAUAAAAUUACAUAAACUCAUCAAAUAAACUAUAAAAAAAACACACUAAAAUGAAAUUACAUAAACUCAUCAAAUACUCUUUAUUCUUCAACCACAAGCUUUUUGGUAUUUUUUUUCACACAAAAAGUAUAUGAAAGCUUUGGUAGAAAGUGUAGAAAAUAUUGAAAUGUGGUGUAAGGUGGAAGAUGAGGGUUAGGUAUUUAUAGAAAUUUUUUUUUUAAUUUUCUGUAUUUUUUAAUAAAUUUUAAUUUAGUUAAUUAACGUGGACCGUUGAUCUAUGAUCGAACGGUCUAUUUUAAAAGUCAAAUUUAAAUUUUUUUUACCGUUGGAAAUCCAACGGUCUAGAAAAACUAGCCGUUGGAAAUCCAACGGCUAUGAGCAUGACGCGUCACUCCGGAGCACAAGUGGGCUGACAGCCCUCUGCAAGCUUGUCGGCUACUCGCCCUGGGCGCGAGUGUCGUGCACGCGCCAGCCAAAUAGGCCGGCUCUUGGGUCUGUCAAAAUUGGGCUGGUCUGUUGCCUGGCAUGGGCUGGGUGCUAGGUAACUUUGUGGGCUGGAGCAAAUUGAUUGAGGGCUAGUCUGUUUUUUGUGCUGGGUCCUGGGCAAAGCAAGCCCUGGUGGACUUGCUCUAAGCAUUUAUCUCAUCUCGACUAUUUUUUAUUUGGGUAAAGUACAAAAACUACCUCAAUUAUUGGUGUCACGACACUUUCAUACCUCAUUUUUUAAAAUUAACAAUGUUAUACCGCAUUUUAUGAAUUUGUGACAAUGUCAUACCUCCGUAAGUUUUUCUAUUAAUUUCUCUGUUAAAUGCUGACGUAGCCCGACACGUGUCCCACUCACUAAUCCAGCUGGAUUAAAAAAUAAUUAAAUAUAUUUUUAAUAAUUAAAUAUUAACAAAUUAAGAAUAAAAAAACAAAAAAAAAAUUUACUAGGGUGCAACAUCCCCUUUCCUUCUCCCGCACCAAUUUCAAUGUUUUUGUUCUUCUCUCUCCUCCUUCUUCUUCAUCUUCGUCUUCUUCUCUUGGGCCGAAACUGGUUUUGGCACAUUUUUUUUUCGUUUUCAAUUUUUUUUGUUCUUCUCUCUCCUCCUUCUUCUUCUUUAUCUUCUUCUUCUCCUAGGCCGAAGCUGGAUUUGGCACUUUUUUGUUUUCAAUUUUUUUUGUUCUCUCUCCUUCUCCUUCUUCUUCUUCUUCUUCUUCUUCUCCUUCUUCUUCUCCUGGGCCGAAACUGGAUUUGUCAUUUUUUUUUUGUUCUUAUCUCUCCUCCUUAAGAAGAAGAAGAGAGAGAAGGAAAAAAAAAAAAAGAAGGAAACCAGUUCGUCCGUCCCCCUCCCCUAACUCAACCUGCAGAAGAAGAAAAAGUAGAGAGAGAGAGAGAGAGAGAGAGAGAGAAAAAAAAAGGAAACCCCCAAGCUGCAACCCAGAAAGAAGAAGAAGAAGAAAGGAAAAAAAAAAAAAUGAAAAGGUCGUCCGUCCCAACCCCCCUCCCCAACCCACCCAACCUGCAGAAGAAAGAAGAAGAGAGAGAGAAAAGAAAAAGAAAAAGAAAAGCUUUUUUUUUUUUACUUUUCCUUAUUAUUUUAAUAUUUAAAAAAUAUUAAAUAAUUUUUUUUAGUUUUUAAUAAUUUUUUAAUAGAAAGUGGGUCCAGAAUCAAGCCACGUCAGUAUUUAACUGCAAAAUUGACGGCCAGGUAACGGAAGGUAUAACAUUAAACCAAAUUUUAAAGAUGAGGUAUGACAUUGUCAAUGUUAAAAGAUGAGGUAUGAAAGUGUCGUGACACUAAUAGUUGAGGUAGUUUUUUGUACUUUACCCUUUUUAUUUUUAGAUAAUUACUUUAAAUUCGUUUGUUAAAACGGUAAAUGGAUUUAAACUUAGGUGCAAAUGCAAGAGAGUAGAGCAUAUUGUUCUAGUAAACUUAGCUAAAUUCACGUCUGCUUCAUUCUUGUAUAUAAAUUCUACCUGUAUUGAAAAAGGAGAUUCCAAACACAAGAUUUCGGACACAUCACGUAUGAGUUCAUUAAACACCUAAGCUAUCAGCCUCUUGGUCAGUUCAUGAUAGUGUGUAGUCAAAGAUUUUUUAUUUUAGUUUUAGUAGUCACACCUUCAAAAUAAUGACAACUAAUUUUAUUUUCUCGGUGUUAGAAAAGAUAUUAACUUCAAAUCAUCGCUCCUCAUUAUAAGAGUUAAUAUGAUAAAUGGUGUAAGGAUCAACCCGUGUUAUUCCUGUGUAAAAUGCUCUAAUGGUAAAUUGUUUAGUUCACACUUAUGGGCCAGAACUCACUCUUGGCUCCUAUCGCCAUUGAAUGGAAGGAGAAGAUUUAACAAAUAACACGCGAUGUAAUUUGAAACUUGUCCCCCAAAAGGUUUUCUUCUAAAAACUGAAAUUGAAAAAAAAAAAGCGAGAAUAUAAGUUCAAGCAACACUUUUUCUGCUUCUAUCAUAAAGAAUCAAACGAUGAAAUCCUAAUUCAUUAUCUUGUUCUUACUCUCUCACCACCUGGGUUAACCGAGGCAUAGUUGUUGUGUGACCGAGUGAUACAGCUAGUAAACUCACAAGUGCAUAUCAGAGAUGAACCUAAUUCAUGUGAUGAAGCUGCAAUUCUACUGUGUUAUGUUAUGUGACACAAAUAAACAUUAAUUAAGUUUGCACAUAAACUUCUUCCCAUAACUUAUCUGGAUUCCAACGUCUAGAUGUAGUGCAGAGUAUUGUGCAAUUCUACUGGCUCCUGUUCCGGGUACAUGGAAACAUCUCUCAUGUAUUGAAACUUAGCUUUCAGAGAGUUCAGAGAUAAAAAAAUAUCUUCUCCUUAUUUCACUCUCUUACUCAACAAGACAUUUACAUCAGUAUAUAUAGAUACAAUUAUAUUGACAUAAUUGACCUCAACAUUCAGAAACUAAUUACACAUUCACCCUUGUCUAACUGACUCCAAAUAUACAAUUACUACUUGAGUCUUUACACCCCCUCAAGCUGAGACUUGGGACAUGAAAAUGACCAAGAGGAAGCUUGGAUUGCAGAAAACAGAAUCUGUGUUUUGAAAGGGAUUUGGUGUGAAUAUCAGCCAAUUGAUCUUGGCUGCAAACAUAAAGCACUUUAAUCAAAUGCGCCAAUACUAACUCCCGAAUGUAAUGAUAAUCCACUUCUACAUGCUUUGUCCGAGCAUGAAACACAAAUUGGAGGCAAGAGAAAUGGCUGAAAUGUUAUCACACCAAAGAGUUGGAACGGUAGACAGGGGAAAGUGGAUAUCAGAAAACACCUUGCAAAUCCAGGUGAUUUCAGCGGCAGUAUGUGCUAAAGCUCGAUAUUCAGCUUCGGUGGAGGACCGGGCAACAGUGGGUUGCUUUUUAGCAUUCCAACUGAUCAGAUUGGGACCUAAGAAAACACAGAAGCCAGUAGUAGAUCGUCUAUCAAAAGUACAACCGGCCCAGUCAUCAUCAGAAUAAGCAGUGAGGGCAAGAGAACCCUUUUUAAACCAAAGACCUUGAGUAAGAGUGCCUUUGAGAAAUCGAAGAAUGCGUUUGACAGCUUGCAGGUGUUGUUCCCGUGGUGAAUGCAUGAACUGACAAACUUGGUUUACAGCAAAGGAGAGAUCAGGCCUGGUCCAAGUGAGAUACUGUAAACCACCCACUAUAGACCUGUAUUCAGUGGGAUUAGAGAGUAAAUGACCACUGUGAUCAAGUUUAGUGGUACCAAGAGGAGAGACACAAGGCUUGGCACCUGCCAUAUUUGCCUUGUUUAGAAGAUCAAGAGAGUAUUUACUUUGAUGCAUGAAGAGGCCUUCAGAAUUGCGUUGCACCUCCAAACCCAAAAAAUAAUGAAGAGGGCCCAUAUCCUUAACAGGAAAUGCUUGGCUAAGUUUGUGAAUGAAGUGUUGGCAGAGAAUGGCAUUUGGUCCGGUGACAAGAAUGUCAUCGACAUAGACCAAAACAAGAACAGGAGCUGAAGCUUGAAGAACAAAUAGAGAAGCAUCAGAGGAGGACUGCUUAAACCCAAGAGUGCACAGAACUUGGAACAGUUGAUCAAACCAAGCCCUGGGGGCUUGUUUUAAACCAUACAGAGAUUUCUUGAGGUGGCAGACAUGACUAGGAAGAUUGGAGUCAAUGAAACCAGGGGGCUGAGUCAUAAAAACAACUUCCUUGAGAUCUCCAUGUAAAAAGGCAUUGCUAAUGUCCAAUUGAUGGAGAAACCAGUCAUGUUGAACAGCCAAGGUUAACAGAAUACGAAUGGUGACAGGCUUAGCUACUGGACUGAAAGUAUCUUGAUAGUCAACACCCUCUUUUUGAUGAAAUCCUUUGGCCACUAACCGAGCCUUAUACCUGUCCACCGUACCAUCAGGUUUUCUCUUAAUUCUGAACACCCAUUUGCAACCAACAAUGUUCUGAGACGGAGAGUGGGGUACCAAAUGCCAAGUACCAGUGAGUUGAAGAGCAUUAAACUCUUCCUGCAUAGCUUGUCUUCAGUGGGCAUACUUGGAGGCUUGUAAGUAUGUGGAAGGAACAAAAUCAACAUCAACAGGUAAAUGAUGUUUUGUGGCAGAAUAUGCUUUUGGUUUAAAAAUACCAGCCUUUGAGCGAGUAAGCAUAGGAUGAGUAUUAGGAGCUGUAGAAUGUGAAACAGUAGGAUGAGUAUUAGGAACUGGAGAAUGUGAUACAUAAUUUGAGGAUGAUGGUGGGGAAGAAACAUGCUCAGUGAAAGGGGUAGUGGAUUGAACUGGAGAAGGGCGCUGGGGAAUAGAGAAGUGCAAAUCAAUAGGGGAAGGUGGAGAGUGAGACCCCGGAGAAACCGCCACAGAUGAAGAAGAAAGAAAUGGAAACUGGUUUUCAUUGAAUUGAACAUGGCGGGAGAUAUAGAUUCUCUGAGUAGUAGGAUCAAGACACCGAUAGCCCUUGUGCUGCAAACUAUAGCCCAAAAAUACACAUUCUGUACUCUUCCCAUCUAACUUGGAGUGAACAUAUGGCUUUAACCAGGGAUAACAGGAGCAACCAAAAACCUUCAACUUGGAAUAAUCGAGAAUAGAGUUGAAUAAAAGUUCCCAUGGAGACUGAUUCAAACUGGAAAUAGGCAGGCGAUUGAUCAGGUAGACUGCAGUAGAAAAGGAUUCAACCCAAUACAAAUGAGGAACUUUAGAGGCAACUAAUAGAGUCCGUGCGGUCUCAACUAAAUGUCGGUGCUUUCGUUCAACACAGCCAUUCUGUUCAGGUGUGUGAGGACAGCUAAGUUGAUGAGAUAUACCAUGAUCUUGAAGAAAAGAUUUAAACUUGUUACUAGUAAAUUCACCCCCUGAAUCAGACCUCAAACAUUUGAUUUUAUUACCAACAGAAUUCUCAACAUAGGUCUUGAAUACAACAAAAGUAUAAUAUACAUCAGAUUUGGCCUUUAAAGGAAAGAACCAAGAGUACUUGCUGUAAUCAUCCACUAUUAACAUAUAGUACUGGUAACCACAGGCAGAAAUGACAGGAGCAGGGCCCCAAACAUCACAAUGUAACAAACUUAAACUAGUAGUAGAAGUAGAACUAGAGGGAUGAAACGGUAGCUUGUGAUUCUUAGCAAUUGCACAGUCCGAGCAGAAGAAAUCAACAGAAUGUUUUCCCUGCAGUGCAAGCUUAUUGGCAGAUAGAACGCGCCUGAAGAUGGCAGAUGAAGGAUGCCCCAAGCCACUGUGCCAAAUAUUCACAGGUGCUUUAGGACCGACUAAAGCAUGAGGAGAUGAACAAGAUGAAGAGAAAGAAGCAGGGAUACCUUGAAAAGUAUAGAAACCAUUAUUAACCGUUCCCUGCAAAAGCAUCUUCCCCGUAGAACGAUCCUUAACAACAGAGCCAUUGGAAUGCAAAGUCAAAGAGCAGGAAUUAUCCUUGAGAAAUUGAUAUGCAGAGAGUAAAUUGUGCUUCAUUUGCGGAACAUGUAACACAUUGUUCAACUUAAAAGAGGCAUGAGCAAUAUUUAACAAUGUACUGCCAGUAUGAUGAAUGGACAAACCUUUUCCAUCGCCGAUAUACACUUUAUCUUCACCAGUGUAAGGAGUAGGAGAAGAAAUAUUGGAGAUGUCAUGGGUGAUAUGAGAUGUAGCACCAGAAUCUAAAAUCCAUGAAAGAGAUGGUUUAGAAGCAUAAUGAGUAUACAUGGCAGCAAGUUUAGUAGGGGGUACUUUCCCAAAGAUAUCUGGAUUCAUCCGAUCAUAGCAAUCAAUAGCUUCAUGACUUGAGGAUCCACAAAUUUGACAAUUGGUACGAACUCCAGGAUUAUUAGAAGAACGAAAGCCAGGAUUGUUGAACCUUUGGAAACCAGAAUUAGAGUGAGAGCCCCUGUUGUUGCCAAGAUAGUUUCGAUUGCCUCUGUUGUUGUGAAAGCGAUUAUUGUUCCGACCACGAUUAGAGUUGUAGCGAGAAGAAUUCUGCAUAGGUUGAUGUUGAGUGGCAUAAGCUUGAGAAGAAUGUGGUGUAGGAAGGAGAGGCGGUUGAUUCUGAGUAGCAUAAGCAUGAACUGGUUCAGCAACAACUGAUUUCUUUCGACCAGCCAUUGACAAUUCUUUAGUAAGAAGAAGACCAUGCAGUUCAUCCAAAGUAGUCGAGGAGAGGCAACGAGUAAUAGAAUCAACAAAGGAGUCAAAUUCCUCUGGUAAACCAUGCAAUGUAGCAGCAAUCAAGUCACGAUCGGACACAGAGGCACCAGCAGCUGUUAAAGAAUCAGAAAUUGCUUUAAUUUGCUGGAGAUACUCAGAGAUCGAUUGAGAGCAUUUCUGAAGAGAUUGAAGACGAGAGCGAAGCUGAUGAAUAUGAGCAUCGGAGAUGCCACCAAACCUCUGUUCCAAUUUGAGCCAUAGAUCUCGAGAAGAAGAAACACCAACUGUGAAAGGAAUAAUCUCCUCCGAGAGUGUAGAAUUCAACCAAAUCAAGAGAUUUUGAUCUUUUUCGUACCACUGUUCAAACGCAGGAUUGAGGGAGCGAUCAGCCAAGAGAGGAGAGGGACAAGGUUCAGAACCAUCAAUAACACCGAGAAGUUUGUAGCGACGAAGAAUUGGGGCAAAGAGUGCUUGCCAAGGAAGAUAAUUGGAACUCUUAAGCUUGAUCGGAACCAUACUUCCAAUGUUCUGAAUCGUGAGAGAGGUAUAGCUUGGCACCAAAUUAGGGUUAGGAGAAGAGGAAUUGGGGAGAGAAGAUGACAAAUCAGACGCCAUGGUGGAUGAUACAGGCAAGAUUCAACCAAAUAACCACACAAAAGACAGAGAAGAAGAAGCACCAGGGAUCAGAUCAAACCAGAGAGCGAAGCGGAGAAGCCGUGAGACCAGAGAUCGGAGCGGAAAAGCCGUGAGACCGCGAGGACAGAUCGAGGCACCGUGAGAUUAGAUCGAACCAGAGAUCGGAUCGAAGAAGCCGUGAGGAUCGAAGAGUCACCAAGCAGGAAGGCGGUGACAACGGUGACGAGAAGGAUCGAAGAUUCACCAAGGCCAUGAGGCGGUGGCGAUUGAUACCAUAUUGAAACUUAGCUUUCAGAGAGUUCAGAGAUAAAAAAAUAUCUUCUCCUUAUUUCACUUUCUUACUCAACAAGACAUUUACAUCAGUAUAUAUAGAUACAAUUCUAUUGACAUAAUUGACCUCAACAUUCAGAAACUAAUUACACAUUCACCCUUGUCUAACUGACUCCAACUAUACAAUUACUACUUGAGUCUUUAUCAUGUACCUGAAACUUGGAAAAUUUUCUAACUUGGGAAACAAGCAAUAUUCUUGUUGCAACUUUAUAUAUACACCGGACUGCCGAGUAGUGAUUAUUUAAUAAAUAAUCUGAUACGUAAUCUGGUGACAUGUAAAUUACAAACAGGUUUUAUACUCAUGAGAGUGCUAAUGUCCUGUAAAUACAAUGUUUACAUUUCAUUUCCAUUGUCCAUACAGUUUCGACGCACACGUUUAAUUUACAAAUGAGCGAGUGAAGGUUGCGUAAAGAUGUAAACUUCGUCGAAUCCCCUCCUGCAAUCGGAAAGCGUAGGACAACCAAGUUAAUAAAUCCAUGCACAAAUCCAAAAUAAUAAUGCAGUUUGAAGUUCAGUUUUUGGUUUACCCAGCCUUCCCACAAAAAGUGGGACUGUAGUUGUAGAUGAGAUUGUCAAGGACUUCCCGGACAGGCGGUCUGUUUAAUGACUUCCUUGCCUCACUGCAUCACAAAUUCAAAAUUAGACUAAGUUUUGGGUCCGCAAUCAUUCCGGUUGAAUAAACUUAAGUGAAUUUUAAAGUUGUAGAUGCAUAUUCUGAAUUCUGAAAUAUGACACCGUGAAAAGUUGUUAAUACAGUAGAACCUCGAUAAUUGAAUAAACAAAUAAUGCGGUUAUCUGAAGACUCUGAACCUUAAAUUUUCCACUUUUUUUUUUCUACCCCUGCCCUCCAGACAAAGUUGAAAAGCACAGCGGUUUAAUUAGAACUAAAAGACAGAUACAGAAGGAGCCCUAACCUGACCAAGAAGUUUGCAGCGUGCUGGGUCACUUGAAUAGCAUCCUCUGAGUGCGGAAUCAUUGGUAAGCCCCAUUCGAAAGCAUUUUUCUGCAUCUUAAUUAGUUAGUCUUCUCAUACUUGAAACAAAUCCGUCGGAAUAAUCUAAUAAGUCCAGAUUUUCUCAAAGGUCUUUUGCUUUUCCCAAUUCUUAGUUAUGCAAAAUUGUACAGGUUCCACGGUAAUAAUUAUUGAAAAUCUUUCUUAAGAACACAAAUAUAGUAAUAUUGGAAGUGUCUUAAGUAGAACUAGUUAGUGUUUUAUGUGCCAAUCUUUCAUACAAAGAUGGUACGAAAAGCAAACUUUGAUAAUUACGCAAUCAUAGCUUCUCCUCCACAAGGUUGUGAAUACAUCUUACGUAGAAAUCCUUGCAGAUGCAUAUUCAAAUAUAAAAAGCCUCGAGAUGGUUCCAUAUUCAACACUGUUAAUGUGCUGUUGCUUAUAUUGAUAAAUUUAGAGUUAAUAGUAGCAUUAAAGACGACGAAAGAAAUAUUGUGGUAAUACCUCUGGAUGCCAUUGGAAGGCAGUCACAGGAUAGUUGUAUGCGUGUACUGUGGACACAUAGACCUGGCAUUAGUGUUACUGCAACAGUUAGAAUCUUCAGGGGAAUAAAAUGAAUUGGGGAACUUGAAUAGAGAGAUGUUUCAUGACAUGGUGAAACCACAUAACCAAACGAGAUAGUUACAUUCAGUACCUUAUCAUCUUCAUCAGUACAAGUUGUCAAGAUCUUAAAGAAACUUGACAGGUUCUCGUUCUCCAUAAGCCUCUCUGGUGAGAUACCAUACUGUUGCGUUGAAUCAUUACAAACUUAUGUUAGAAAACCUAAACCAUGCUUUCUAAGCAUAAGUAUAACCAUAUGGAUAAGAACAGCAGAAAAACAAAAUGCACGGUACAAGAAGCAUAAAUCAACAGAAAGAACGAAAAUCAUAAUAACUCAUAAUCCAAGAUAUUCUCAAAACACAGCCAUUUGUCUCAUCAAUCUUGUCGAUGACUGGACAAACUCAGAAUCAUAAUGAAACAAUCUAAACUUCUCAACUGAAGCUAAUUAUAUAUGUUUUGAAGUGGUUUUGCCUUUGCUAAAUGAAAAAACAAACUGAACAAUUAUAAGAUUUGACCAAGUAAAUGGUUUUCGAUUUGAUAAUUCAGGAUCAAUCCAUGCAUAAAUGAUAUAUUUGAUAACUAUGUCUAGCUUCAAGGAAAGAACCUUUAGAUUAGAACUCACUUUAUGGUUUUGCAUUACAAGACAAUCUGUACUCAACUUCUUAAGCAAGUCCGGAGGAAAUCUGCAAAAGUAAAAAAUUAAUUUAUUGGCUGAAGAAGUUAAAUCACCCUGGAUGUACAGUAACAUAAAAGAAACUUCCAUGCUAAUUCAUAGAACAUCAACCCUCCUCCUUAAUAAUCAGAACGAAGGUCAUAAAGAUCAGACAAGGAUGAUGUCUAGCAUGCUCUAUUGACGUCUACACCGCUUAACCCUACUGAUUAGGCCGAAGUACAUAAAUUUCUCGUGUUCAGUCCUAUUUAAGGGAAUGUUCCUCUCUAAAAUCUGUGACAAGCAUGCUAGCUGCAGGGAAGCUAGCUUGAAUGAUGGUUGGGUUUUUCAUAAAGAUAGAUAUUUAAUUUUAUAAGAAUCAAACAAAAAAUUACAGAAGAGAGAUUAGAACACCCCCCCCCCCCCGGAAAAAAAAAAAAUUUAAGAUAACUUCUAGAGGCCCUACAGUUAAUACAUUUCGGUUAUAGGCGUAUAAAUCAAUAGCAUUUCAAGAAUUCGCAUACUCAUAGACAUCCUCACAGUUUGUUUUGACUAAGGAUCUAAGAUCGGUAAUCAAUGCACAACAUGUUUGAAGAAAAAGUUUCAAAGUAAAAUUAUUUUGCAUAAGACUAGAACAAUGACAUACAAAUUGAGUCAGGAAAACCACAUUCCAAGAUUUAUACCUUUGAAAAACAGUUCCUUCAAUAACGGCGUUCUCGGUAAAUUGUAAAGUUGAGGCCACAUCUACUGCACUGAAUGUCUCCAGAAUUUUCUUGUUCUAGAAGGAAGAAAGAAAGUUGUGGAAAUCAUAAAAUUGUGAAAAAUAUAUUAAGAAUGAUGCAUCAAUAAGGAUAAAAAAAAAUAAACUCGACGACUUAAAAGUAGACUACAACUAAUUGACAUGACUAAGGUGAUUCAGAUUGAAAGGAAUACUGUGACAAUUCUAAUAAAAGAAAUUGAACUGCAAUUGCAUAUUUCAAUGUUGGAUGUCAAGUUGUAAAUGGAUGCACCCUCACUAAAGACUAUUCUUUUCAUAGUCUCAAGUUGUAUGCCCACUAAAGAAACCAAGAAAGGCCAUUCUCAAACGAAGAAACAAGGCACUUGGUAAAAUAGUUUUGAAUUGCAAUUGUCGCCCUAAAAAACAGAUGUGCUGGUUUUGCUUCUUUUAGAAAUUGAAUCAUUUAAAGCGCCAUCACCCAUCAGAAUGUACAAAUUUGAUCAUUUACAGUGGCUACUUAAGCAUUUAUGCAUUCAAAUACUUAGGCAUUUAUGCAUUAAAAAAGGUGAAAGAAAUGCAAUUUGAAUGACGAGGCUGAAUUCUUAUGGAAAAACAGUGUACUUUGAGAAGGAUAGUUUACCUUGCUGAUGAUCAUUGUUAGAAGUUCAAAACCUAAGCAGGUGGCGUAUAAUGGAAAAUGAUCUCCAGCGUCAUUCUUCUCUAUAAUUUUCUGCAGAAAACAGAUACAAACGUCGCUAAUAAAUAUGGAAUGGAACUAUGGACGAAUUCUUAAGAAAAGCAAUGAAACUAAAUUCUUAAGAGAAGCAAUGAAACUAUCCUAAAAGAAUUUCAAUUUACUGGAAAUCUUUAUGAUGCAGAGAGCCCUGAAGCAUCUAAGGUUAGCCAACGAUGACAACAAUGUCAUGGUUCUAAAUCUAAUGCAAAAAAUCGAACUUUGACUCUAAACCCCUAUUUAGUGGUUAGGCUGACCAUUCUAUCUAACCAGUAUCUAUCAAAUUUUCUUUCGUCUAGUGUUGGCUGGCAAACAGAGAAUGAUCCUUCAUGCUGAUGAUCAUAGGCAAUGACAUGAUAUUGGGCUUGGUAUGAUGUCAAUUUUGACCUCUAAAAACCUAAACCCUAUUAAGAAUCAUGAUUCUUAUGCUGCCAAGUCCCGCCAAUACUAAACUGAUCGAGUAACGAUUUAGAUCAAUUUAAGUUUGAACGAAAGAUCGGAGUUCUUUUUCAUAAAACUGAGUCCAGACAAGCAACUAAAGCACAUCAAGGGGUUGUGGCAUGUUCUACAAUGACCAAUUUUCUAUGUAGAAAAUAGAGUCUUCUGCUUGUUUAGCAGAAACUUGACUCCGUAGUAUAUAAAAGUUAGAUUUAAAUGGUCUGCCUGGCAAACCAGGACUAUAAUGUUAGUGUAGAUCAUGCACUAAAGGGUUACUAUAUCAAGCACUAAAUUACCUUAAAUAUUCUCUCGGCAACGUCAUAGUACAAACCACUUUUAGCCCAUCCUCCAGUGAAAAGCACGCCAUUGACGAGGUCGAGCUUCUGCAAAGCAGCAUUAUAUAGUGAGCAACAUAACAAAAUCACUGCGACAGGCCGGCUUAGUUUAUAUAUGCACACAUAUUGAAACUUAUAUAAAUGAACAGCCAGUAUUCACACCAACUUCAAUUUUUGAUUCUUAGCCCAAAAAAUAAACGAAAGCUUUCGAAUUUCGAUUAGAAAGGCCAAUACAAAAACUGGGUCGUUUAUAUAAAUGUGGUUUCUCCAGCUAAAACAAAAGAGCCUAUACAAAUAUCAUAUGCCAAUUUUAAGCACCUCUUCUGAGUAAAGUUAACUCAACCCAUGAUGUGCUUCUUUGAAAAGCAGCUUUAACGUAAGCAACACAGAAGCAACUUCUAUAAAAAGCUCAAUUUGUUAUGGUGAUCACCUGGAAAAGUAUAUCGGGAGGCUCGUUGUAGAUGAGAGGAAUAACACGAGCUCCAGCCGAUUCAACGAACUUGACGUAAGAAGCUGCGAUAUACGACGCCGUGGAGGCGUUGCUCAGCCGGCCGGAAGCGCCGUCGCCAGGGUGGCUCAGGAUACCGAUCACCGGCCUGUAGUUGAUCUUGGGGUCGGGGGCCGUACACUUGGACGAGGACGAGUCCGAUGUUCGGAGUUGACUCGGCAAGAGAAUCGGCGCCUGGGCUUUGGCCAAGGGCAGCUCUUUGGACAAGGAGAUUAGGAAAGGAAUCCAGAGGUAGCUCCACAUCUCUGCCCUGCCGGUGUGGUUUUUGGUGAGACGGCAGCGGUUUGGACGUCGGAGGGGUCGGGUGUUGGGGUGGACGUGGAAUGAGUGAGGAAGCUGGAGGGCAUUUAGGGGAAGAACUGCCUAGGAAGUGUUUUAGUAGCAAUCUGGAUAAGAGGAGGAAGGGGAGGAAGGUGGUAUGACAUUGACUGGUGAUUGUUACGUGAAAGGAAGCCAACAAAAACGUUGUCAUGUCUUACACUUAAUUUUUUCUUUACUUCGAACUAAUUCAAAUUAUAAAGAGUAUUCGAACUUUGAGGGUAUAUGAAUAACAUAUCCAUUUUGGCUAGUUUGGUUAAAUUAAACUCACAUUUGAAUGUAAUACUUGAUCAUUUUUCCCUUAUUAUUCUUUGGUUUAGAAGUGGGAACAAUUAAGUUCGAUUUGAUUCCUCGUAAACUUGAAAACUACAUUGUUAAAUAUGUUUGGUUUGGUUAUGCUUAGUUUAGUCUGGUUUCAUUCAAGAUUUUCACGUAAGCAAAAUAAGACAAAAGUAUUUACAACAAAAACUUUCCUUUCUCUCUUCCUGAGAGACCUUCCCUCUGUGUGAGGGUUAAUAUCACCGAUCUGUGUGAGUGGUUCCCAAUCGAGUCCAAUUCCGGUGCCGCCUAGGAUCGGUGGGUUUUCUUUUGUUUCUUUCUCCAUCUCUUUCUCCUCUUCCAUCCGCUGUUUUCUUCCCUGAUUUUCUUGGUUGAUUUGCCUUCUUCUCUCCCCUUCGCUGUCUCUCAUCCAUAUUCAUCCAAUUUUCAAGCUUCAGUCACCUUUUGCCGCGAUUUGUUGUGGUGUUUCGAGUUGGUGUGCUUUGAUCUGGUGCUUGCACUGGGUCAGGUGUUCCUUGCACCCCACCUUCUCUUUGUUGUCUGUCCUUGUUGGCAGUGUUGCUCGUGGACUGCCAUGAGCUUCUUUCACUUGUCUGCAGGUUCUCUGGUGUUUGUAGCUGGGCUUGGAGUGAAGCUUGGAAUUGGCCGUUGGUAUCAGACAGGGCCCCAAAUUCAAUCAAACAACAUCAUCAAGCUAAACCCAUAAAAGCCUACUACUCAAAGAGAGCCUAACUUCGUUAGAAACCCUAAUUCGAAGAUGCUCUUAAAGAGCCUAAUUUGGCCAUCUAAUCAUCAAUAAUUUGGAGUCAUUUAUUACUGGAUUUGACAUCAAUAGUAGAGAAUAAACAAAUUUUCCUUUAAUAUUUCGGAGGAUGAAUCUGCGGAGAUGUUUGAGUGGUGAAUUGAUUAAAUUAUUAAGUUUUGUAGUUUGAUUUUUUUUUUUAGUCAAAGGUUACUAUUGUGAACACGAAAAUUUUCUGAAACGAAAGAGACAAGAACAACGUGCACAAAAUAAUAUUUGUAUUUUUGAUGAUUUUGGGUUACAAUCUCUCUCAAAUUUGAUCAUCUGAUUCGAUCUCCGUAAGGUAUUGAUUUGUGGAUGUUUCGUUGAUCCAAGGGCCAUCGAGGCUUGAUCUUGGAUGAACUGUUGGAAGUUUCUUCAAGGGGCCGUGGGCUUGAUCUUUGAAGGUGGAUUUGAGCGGAUCUUCAAGGAGCCGUUGGGGCUUGAUCUUGAGGAUGAGUGUUUCUUCAAGGGCCGUUGAGGCUUGAUCUUGAAUAAUGGUGAUGAACGGGUCUUCAAGGGCUUUUGGGCUUGAUCUUGAAGAACAGUGAUGAACGGAUCUUCAAGGGCUUUUGGGCUUAAUCUUGAAGAACGGUUGGAUGUGUGGAUUUGUCAACGUUGUUGAUCCAAAGGGCCGUUGGGGCUUGAUCUUGGAUGAACGGAUGAUGAACGAUGGUGCUUUCUUCAAGGGCCGUCGGGGCUUGAUCUUGAAUUGGUGGAAGUUCUUCAAGGGGGCCUUUGGGGCUUGAUCUUGGAAGAACGAUGAACGAAGAACGAAGAACACUUUCUUCAAGGGCCGUCGGGGCUUGAUCUUGAAUUGGUGGAUGAUUGUUAAUCCAAGGGCCGUCGGGGCUUGAUCUUGGAGAACGAUGAACGAAGAACGAAGAACGCUUUCUUGAUUCUUCAGGAACCUGGAUGCUUGAGAGCUUCGGAGUUUCAGAGCUUCAGAGCUUCAAGAAUUUUGCCUAAUGAUUUUGGUUCCUCUCAAAUGAAUGAAAUUGGCUUCUAUUUAUAGAAUUUUCUAAGGCCUAAUUUUGAAUAUAAUAUUCCAGAUGAAAUAAGUCGUUUCUGCCAGGUGUUGACACGUGUCCUGUUUGAUGACUUUUCCGAUGAUUCUCGAUUUUUUGUUUAGACACACGCUACGUGUAAAAUUUAUGUAAUACAUGAACGCUGAAACUUUGAUUUAUCGGUCAACAUUUAUUUACUGAAAUUUCAAUGUCUACAACUAUAUUACCACAACACAAUUAAUUACACAAAUUGAGGUCCAUAUACAAGAAAAAAAUAGACCUCAAUAGUAACCCAAAUACCCAAAACAAAAAAAACACAGAAGUUAACCCUAACUGCUUUCCUUUAACGGCAUCGUCGAAUGCACCGAUCGCGACGAUCAGGAGCCUACACCACCAACUUUCGCCAAGAACCCACAUCUCAAAGAUGGAAAUAAGAUGAAUUUCGCCUUCCAACAUAUACCAUCUCACUGAUCGUAGCCAUUGAUUGAGAGAAACCAAAGAAGCCCGUGGGAUCGCCACGGACAACAUUGCCAGAAAUGGUAGACAAAGAGAAGAAGGUGGUGUUGCCACCCAAGCUGGUGAAAACUCCGGAUCUCUACGCACCUUCUCAGUUGAAGACCGCAUCACUUCACGGUUAAAAUUGAUUACAAAUUGGAAUGGAGAUUGAGUUGGUGAAAGCCAAAAUAAGAACAUGUCUAUGGAUGGAUGGAAGAUCUGAUAUGAGGGCAACAGAUGUACCUGUGAAAAUCGAGGUGAAUAUGGAAAUCAAAAUAGGAAGGAAAGCAAGAAAAACACCAGAAGUAGAAGAAAGAGGAAACAAAGGAAGAAGGAAGGGCUGCCACCGACCCUAAUCAGAAUUAGGGCCGGCAACAAAGGAAAAUCUCAAGUGUUGCUGCUGCUCUCACUCAUGGAGAGAAUUAUAAUUUUAGGUUAAAACCCUUCAAAUUCGGAUCGUGUUCACCCCUAAACCCAAACAAGAAUAAAUAGAACACAAUUAUAAAUUCAUUAUAUGUUUCAGUUACUGAAAGUCAUUUUAAUAUUAAAUUACAACACGAGGUAUAAAUUAUGUAUAUUGUAAUGUCAUUGCGUCAAUAUAUCAAAUGUAUACAAGAUUUUCCGUAGAGCAAUUUUUUUUUUAUCUAGAAUUUCACUCCAACAAAAAAAUACAGAAUUCAGAGUAUGACAAGCUUUUUAGUGAGUAGUCAUGCGCGUAUGUUUAUCACUUCAUGUAUAACAUCGAAGUCAAAUUAUGUACAGAAGUAAUUAGUACAUAAAGCGUAAGUCUUCUGUUUUGUAGCUAAUCUUCAACUAUGAAAUAGAACUCGUCACAAAAAAAAAAAAAAAAAAAAAAAAAAAAACUAUGAAAUAGAACCACGUGAUCAGCAAUUUGUUAAAAUAAAAUUACCCAAAUUUUUAUGUUUAGGGUUUCUGGGUGUUGGUUUUCAAGCUGCCUAAGUUUGACUAGGUGGAAGAAACCAGUAUACACAAAAAAGAAACUAUUUAAUUACGUCCUUGCUAUUACAUAACUUACAUUAGGAUUAAAAUACGUAACGUAAUUCACAAGUCUAUGUUUAACUACUAAUGUACUCUUACGAUAAUUAACCGGUGAUAUUAUUCAUAUACCAAAAAUCAACCAAUAAAUUUAAGUAGUUACAGUGACAAAUCAUUUUCAUCUUCUUUUUAUGCUUUAUGGAAAAGAUUCCAAUGAAUAUAAGGUCAAACUAUUAAGUAAUCCUUACUGAGCAGUAAUCAGCAUCUAGUAGAUUAAUCAGACUUGCAAAGUUGCAGUACAGUAAAGGCAUUGGAACUUCUUACUCUUGAUAUUCAGAAAAAAUAAAGCAUACUGUUGAUGCACAAAAUCAGUGAGGACUUUGGUAUAAUAGAAAGUGUUAAGUUUAUGACCUUCGUUAGAUUGCUCCGGUCACUAGUGUGGACAAGUAUGUAAAUGGAUAGGGACAGGGAAGCAAACACAAGAUGUACGUGGUUCACCCAGAUUGACUACGUCCACGUAGUAGAGGAGUUCUCAUUAAUUGUGAAAGGUUUACACAAGUACAUAGGUUCAAGCUCUCCUUUAGUGAGUACUAGUGAAUGAUUUAAUACAAAUGACAUUCAGAAAUAUUGUGAGAGAAUGAUCUCUAUUCAUAGAAGAGAGUUUCUAGUUUCAUUCUGACAUUGAUACGUGUCGUGUUGUGAUUGGCUUCUGAUGUCGACACGUGUCGCGCUGUGAUUGGCCUUCUGGUUGGAAGGAAACUCUUAUGGGUCCUUGACGGUAUAACGUUGACCGGUGCUCAGCUUUUGUUGAAAAUUGUAGUUACCCUCCAUUGAUGAAGCUUUUGUUGGCACCAUAAAUUGGUUUUGCUUCACACUUUCUUGAUCAAGAGUGUGUGAAGCUUUUGAGAAUUGUGGUUGAACUUCUUUGAUGAAGCUUUUGUUGGCACCAUAAAUUGGUUUUGCUUCACACUGUCUUGAUCAAGAGUGUGUGAAGCUUUUAAGAAUUGUGGUUGCACUCUAUUGAUGAAGCUCUUGUUGGCACCAUAAAUUGGUUUUGCUUCACACUGUUUUGAUCAAGAGUGUGUGAAGCUUUUGAGAAUUGUGGUUGAACUCCUUUGAUGAAGCUUUUGUUGGCACCAUAAAUUGAUUUUGUUUUACAUUGUCUUGAUUAAGAGUGUGUGAAGCUUUUGAGAAUUGUGGUUGCCCUCCAUUGAUGAAGCUCUUGUUGGCACCAUAAAUUGGUUUUGCUUCACACUGUCUUGAUCAAGAGUGUGAAGCUUUCUACGAGUUGUAGUGUUUGCAUUGUUACAGAGGGAAAAUGUCUGAAGUAGAUGCAAGAGGGCUGAAUAGCUUGAUCUUCGUACACCAUGCACUGAAGUUGUUGUUGGCUUGCAAUAAGACUUUGUUGGUGACUAUAACUCUUGUUGGGAAUAAGUGUUCUCCUAGUUGAGUUGUCAAGCUUAAGGGUUUUUGAUUAUUUGUGAAUGCUAGGAGUUCACAUGUACAAGUUGUACCACUCGUCUUCUGGUAGGUGGAAUGAAUGGUGAGUUGCUUUCAUCACUUGGUUGGUGGUACGAAGGUGAGUUCUUUCAUCACCUUUCAUCACCUGGUUGGUGGCAUGAAUGGCAAGUUGCCAAAUAAUAUUAGAGUAUGGGUUGUACAUUUCAUCACCUGGUUGGUGGCAUGAAAGAGAGUACGGGUUAUACACAUCACCUGGUUGGUGGCAUGAUGAUGAGUUCCUUCUUCACUUGGUUGGUGGCAUGAGUGACAAGUUGUCAAAUGAUAUUAGAGUACUGGUUGUACAUUUCAUCACCUGGUUUGUGGCAUGAAGGAGAGUACGGGUUGUACAUUUCAUCACCUAGUUGGUGGCAUGAGUGGCAAGUUGCCAAAUGAUAUUAGAGUACGGGUUGUACAUUUCAUCACAUGGUUGGUGGCAUGAAGAAGAGUACGAGUUGUACAUUUCAUCACCUGGUUGGUGGCACGAAGAUGAGCUCAUUCUUCACCUGGUUGGUGGCAUGAAUGGCAAGUUGCCAAAUGAUAUUAGAGUACGGGUUGUAUAUUUCAUCACCUGGUUGGUGGCAUGAAGAAGAGUACGGGUUGUACAUUUCAUCACCUGGUUGGUGGCAUGAAGAUGAGUUUCUUCUUCACCUGGUUGGUGACAUGAGUGGCAAGUUGCCAAAUGAUAUUAGAGUACGGGUUGUACAUUUCAUCAUCUGGUUGGUGGCAUGAAGGAGAGUACGAGUUGUACAUUUCAUCACCUGGUUGGUGGCAUGAAGAUGAGUUCCUUCUUCACAUUUCAUCACCUGGUUGGUGAGAAUAAGGGUAAGGUGUCAAGGCACAUUGUAGCAAGUGUCAAAGACACAAAGUAUGUUGAACCCUUUCGAAGCACAGUUGGCUUAUGUAUGGAUGUGUUGGAAUGUAUGAUGUUUAUGUUGAAUGUAUGUAUGAUGUAUAUGUAUGGAAUGUAUGAUGUUUAUGUAUGAAUGUGUUGGAAUGUAUAAUGUUUAUGUCGAUUGAUAUGAGUGAUGCUUAUGAAUGUUUUGCUAUGCAUGAAGGGAUCCAUGCUUUUGAUAUGUGAGCCAUGUUGGUUGUAACACUUAGUAUCACAUACUUUAUGUUAAAGUAUGCAUGUUGAAGCUCUGAGUUGGAGUAUAAGGGUAGGUCAGCGUAGACCAAGUGUUUUAGUGCUAGGAAUGCAAAAGACUCAGAAGAAGUUGUCUGAAUUCCCUCUUCUUUAAAUAUUUGCCGAAUAGCUUGUGUGACAAAAGAUCUCAAGCGGUUGAGAGUCAAAACAUUUGUAAUGUGUAUGCCUUCUUAUAAUAGCAUUUCCUUCAGUACCUAGUCCUCCACUUUGAAAGAGUGAGGCUUGGCCCCAUAGUCAUAAUAGUCGAUUGUACGUUCACCCCUGGUUAUCUUGAUACGAACUUUUAUCCCUCUUGUUGUAAUGGGCUUGCUAAGAAUAAACAUCCUUCCUCUUACCAAGAGACAUAUAUGUUUGGUGACUUAACAAGUAGCUAAAUGAGGCAUGAGAUGAUGCAAUAGGUGUCUGAAUGGCCAAUAUCUCCUCACUUGGUAGAACUUGACUUCCACUUCCCAUUUAUUGAUAGGGGUUAACCAUAUCGGGGUUCCCUUGGUAUGUCCUUACUUCGGCGGAGGCAUGGUUGUAAGCAUGUGCCAUCACCUUAGAGUAAGUCUUCCAAGUGUUGGCAUUGAUCAUGUACUUGAAGAAACAAUCAUGUAGGCCUGCCGUGAAGGCCUUGAGGGCGGUCUUGUCAUCUGCCUCAGCGCAGUGAGAAUACUCAUGGCUGAAGCGACCGGCAUACUCUCGUAGUGACUCGUCCGGCUUCUGACGAAUAGUAUACAAGUCAUCUGCAUAAUACAAGUGAUCGGUCUGGAAGAUCUGUUGAGAGACAAACAAUUUCCUCAAUUCCUCAAAUGAGUCUACUGUCUUAGGUGGAAAACGACAAUACCAGUUUAGAGCUUCGCCAGAGAGGGUGGAGGGGAAGAGAAGCCAUCGCUCUUCGUCGGUGUGCAUCCGAUAUGCCAUGGUAGACUUAAAGAGGUUAAGGUGUUCAAUUGGGUCCUCAUUUCCAGUAUAGAGUUGUAGUCCAAGCUUUUGUUUUGUCUUCGCUUGAAGAGGGGUGUCGAGGAUCCUUCUUGUGAGAGGGCCAGGCCUGGGUUGGUUCCAGUCAGGUAUCCCGGCCUGAUGUUCAGCCUUCAACUUGUUUACUUCCUAAAGGAGCUGUAGGACAAGGGGGUCCUAAGUGGAGUCAUGUAUCACUGAAAUUUUCUUUUGUAAGUUUCCAUCGCCUCUUGGAAGUAGGAAAGUUUGAGCAAGGGCGUGUGUUUUUUUCUUGGACUCGUUGUACUGACUUCUAGGGCGAGUCUGUCGGAAUACCUCAGAGUCCCCCGUACCUUCAUGUUCUUUUGAGACCUAUCGUUCCUUCCUUAGAUUGGUAGCUGGCCUGGGUCUUGGGAGGGGACUGAGUAUUUCAGAAACCCUUGGGUCAUUGAUCUUCGAUCAUAUGUGGAUGAGAUUCUCUCGAUGUUGCUUUAGGAAGUCUCGGCAAUCACGAUAAACGGCUUUCGAUCAUUCCAACCCUUCUGCAAGGAGGUGUCUUCCUCCACUUCUUCUACUUCGGGUCGAAGCAUUUGGGUUGAGAGAAGUCUCAUGUUGAUCAAUGUUUUGAUGAUUAGCUCGCUCCUCAUCAGGGACACCCAUGUUGAAGGAAGGUGACCCUCCGUGUUGGGGGGCACCCAGAUGAUGGUUGAUGUCCACAUGGGCAAUAAGCUCGCGUGUUUGAGUACGCCUAGUUUCGUGGAGCGUCUCAAAGAGCUUCUCAUACUGCUCGUGGAGGACCUCAUUCUUCAUUGCUAUCUUGUUGUUCUGAGCUUCUAGCUCAUCGACUUUAGCUUGAAGAGCAACCCUCUUUCCUUCCUUUUUUCGUUGCUUCGCACUAGGUGCAAGAAGGGUGUCAUUCUGUGUGCUGUGGCUUCCUUCACUCCCUAUGUUGGAGAGGGAUGUCUGGUCAAAAGAGAGUGUACGAAUGGUGGAAACCAGCUUGGCAAAGUUGAAGAGAGUGGGAAUAAGUGUCGUUCCCAUAGACGAUGCCAAAUGUUGAUGCACAAAAUCAGUGAGGACUUUGGUACAACAGAAAGUGUUAAGUUUAUGACCUUCGUUAGAUUGCUUCGGUCACUAGUGUGGACAAGUAUGUAAAUGGAUAGGGACAGGGAAGCAAACACAAGAUGUACGUGGUUCACCCAGAUUAGCUACGUCCACGGAGUAGAUGAGUUCUCAUUAAUUGUGAAGGGUUUACACAAGUACAUAGGUUCAAGCUCUCCUUUAGUGAGUACUAGUGAAUGAUUUAGUACAAAUGACAUUUGGAAAUAUUCUGAUGUCGACACGUGUCGUGCUGUAAUUGGCCUUCUGAUUGGAAGGAAACUCUUCUGGGUCCUUGAUGGUAUAACGUUGACCAGUACUCAAUAGUUUCGGGAUUGGUCAAGUAUGGUACAAACACAAACCUUUUAUUUAUAUGAGUAAAACAGAACGAAAUAUACCUGUUAUCUCUCAAGCAAUUCUCAACCAUAGGAGCCUGCUUAGAGAGCUUUUCUGCUUGCACAAAUUCAGCAUUCCACAAUGCAGCUGGAUCCUUUGGGAUGCAAGCUUGCACACUAUAAACCCCGACCGAGCAGUUGCCAUCAAAUUCUUCUUUUGCUUCUGCAUAUAAUUUGACAGACAUGAAUUCCAUAAUAUUUCCACUUCCCGGAUGUGUAAUGAUGAGACAAGCUAAGUCUGAAUGUUGACAAAAAGAUGAUGAGACGGACCAAGAAGCUAAGUCUGAAUGUCUGACAAAAAGAUGAUGAGACGGACCAAGAAAAAGCAUGAACAAUUAUCUUAGAUUUCAACAAGCACACCUUAAAAAAUUAAAAAUUAAAAAUUAAAAAACUGAAACCAUUGUUACAUAGCUCAUGAAAGGAUGAAUACGCUCAAAAAUAUAAUAGCUUCCAUACUGUGUCAACCAUAACUCAUGUCCGCGUAAGUCUAUGUAUGUCAUCCUAUUGGGAAUCUAACCCUCCAAACUACUGCUCUCACUCUCUGUCAACAUGUUCUAUUGCAUCUAAUACAACCAGAAAAGACGCCAUUGACUUAAAUCAUCAUAUUCUAUCUAAAAGGAAUAUAAUUGGAUGCUCCCUACCCCUUUUCGAUUUUAGUUGAAAAUAUCACAAGCAAACAUACAUACUUUCUUACAAAUAAAUGUUACCUGCAAGUUUAGGCCCAGAAACAAGCCUUGUAUGGUAGCUCGAAGGAUCGCUCUUCAACCAGCCAGCCAAAACAUACACCAAUUCGAACCCAUUUCCAUGAUUUUCAACAAACUCCUGGAGUAACCUAUACAAAACAACUUUCAAUCACCUGUAAACAAAAAAUGCAACCCGGGAAAUAUUGAAAGACAGUUCCUAUACCUCUUUGCAGCAUUGGAAGACACAAAGUAAUUUCGACUCAGCCACUUGUACGAAACCUAUAGCACAGUUGAGCACCGGAAGAAACUUACUUUAGACAAUAUUAUGAAUUCAUAUGAGGUUAAACACAUCUCAACUCAAAUUCCCACCAAGAAAUUUCGUUUUGUCAACGAAACACAGAAGUAACAAUUCAGUAUCAACGCUUGACUGAGAGCGGUUUCCAAGCUUAUUGCAUUCCUGAACCUAACCCAUCAUUAAAUCCCUAAAAAAUUACAUCUUUUUUAUGAAUACAAAAACCCUUUUAACAAUAAACUAAAGAACAUAAACUCUUUCAGCUUGGUAAUUAAGGCAAGUAAAAGAUUUGUCUCACUACAUAACAAGAAAGCAGUAAAAUUUUGUUCAACCCGUGUUAUUCCUGUGUAAAAUGCUCUAAUGGUAAAUCGUUUAGUUCACACUUCUGGGCAAGAACUCACUCUUGGCUCCUAUCCCCAUUGAAUGGAAGAAGAUUUAACAAAUAACACGUGAUGUAAUUUGAAACUUGUCCCCCCAAAAGGUUUUCUCCUAAAAAACGAAGUUAAAAAAAAAAAACUGUGAGAAUAUAAGUUCAAGCAACACUUUUUCCUCUUCUAUCAUAAAGAAUCAAACGAUGAAAUCCUAAUUCAUUAUCCCGCUCUCCCUCUCUCACCACCUGGGCUAACCGGGGUGUGUGUGUGUGUGACCGAGGCAUAGUUGUGUGACUGAGUGAUACAGCGAAACUAGUUAUAGCCAGUAAACUCACAAGUGCGUAUCAGAGAUGAACCUAAUUCAUGUGAUGAAGCUGCAAUUCUACUGUGUUAUGUUAUGUGACACAAGUAAACACUAAUUAAGUUCGCACAGAAACUUCCAUAACUUCUCUGGAUUCCAAUGUCUAGCUGUAGUGCAGAGUAUCGUGCAAUUCUACUGGCUCCUGUUCCGGGUACACGGAAACAUCUCUCAUGUACCAGGAACUUGGAAAAAAUUCUAACUUGGGAUACAAGCAAUAUUCUUGUUGCAACUUUAUAUAUACACCGGACUGCCGAGUAGUGAUUAUUUAAUAAAUAAUCUGAUACAUAAUCUGGUGACAUGUAAAUUACAAACAGGUUUUACACUCAUGAGAGUGCUAAGGUCCUGUAAAUACAAUGUUUACAUUUCAUUUCCAUUGUCUAUACAGUUUCGACGCAUACGUUUAAUUUACAAAUGAGCGAGUGAAGGUUGCGUAAAGAUGUAAACUUCGUCGAAUCCCCUCCUGCAAUCGGAAAGCGUAG